UCAAAACUGCCUGUGCAGGUCAGCUGACUUUGGAAGCAAUUUUCAAACAGCUCAGAAUGAAUUAGAGAAUGAGCCUUAUAUGCUUAGAAAGCUACGGAUGUCUAUUUUCUGGAGCAUUUCGCGGAUUGUUAAUAGCAUUUUUGUAGAAGAAGUUAUGGCCGUUUUAACACUGAAAGGUUUCCAAGACGCUGUGCAGUUUGUAA
rnacentral:lncRNA from 1 species